CCCCUCCCAGGGUGGCACCUGGAGAGUUUCCAGGACUCUAUCAGUCUCGACUACGGGAGGGAGAGUCAAGCAGAGGCCUGUCCGUUCCAUUCCUAGCUUGGGCGGUGGCUAGCGAGCGGAAGGCCAUCUGCUACAAGU
rnacentral:snoRNA from 1 species